rnacentral:miRNA from 1 species
UGUUAUAUUGUCAGAUUGUCA